GGUGCAGGCCCGUGUGGCUCUAACCGCAGCCGUCGGACGGCUCUCUCCCCGGAGUCGGGUUGCUUGGGAGUGCAGCCCUAAGCGGGUGGUAAACUCCACCUAAGGCUAAAUACUUCCACGAGACCGAUAGCAAACAAGUACCGUGAGGGAAAGUUGCAAAGAACUUUGAAGAGAGAGUUCAAGAGUACGUGAAACCGCUCGGAGGCAAACGGGUGGGCCCUCGAAGGUCGAACGGGGGGAUUCAACCCGUCGGUAGCUAAGGUCGCGCGCCGAGGAUGUUCGUCGACGGAUCCGUUGGACCGGUCUUCGGCACGUCCGCAGCGACCACCGGCGGGCGCACUUCCCCCUCAGUAGGACGCCGCGACCGGUCGGGAGAAUCGAAAGGCGGCCAUGCGGCGAGGCAUCGGCAGGUAUCCGUUGCCGGUAAGCCACCCCGUAUCCCUCGUGGUGCGGGGACCACGGCUCCGGUCGGAAAUAUAGCCAGCCUCGUUUACUGGAUCCGCUGCCCGACCGAGGAGAAUUGAUCACAGACGCGCCCGCGCGAAUAUCGGCGCGCGGCAUUGUCCGCCCGGCAGGCCGUGUCCGGGGCCGCCGAACGCCCGCAGCUUGGCGGUCGGUGGCCAUUAGGCUCGCCGUUGGUUGGGCGUGCUGCUCCCGUGGAGGCGCUCGUGGUCUGCGGCGAGUAGGUCGGCUGCCCACCCGACCCGUCUUGAAACACGGACCAAGGAGUCUAACAUGUGUGCGAGUCGUAGGGUCGUGCGUGCACGAAACCCGAAGGCUCAAUGAAAGUGAAGGUCGGCAAUGAUGGUCGACCGAGGCGGGAUCCGCCCAGGCGAUUACGGUUCGUCCGAGCCUGGCGGCGCACCGCUGGCCCGUCUCGACCGCUUAUGCCGGUGAGGCGGAGCUAGAGCAUACACGUUGGGACCCGAAAGAUGGUGAACUAUGCUUGGGCAGGACGAAGCCAGAGGAAACUCUGGUGGAGGUCCGUAGCGAU
rnacentral:rRNA from 1 species